GCCAAAACCUGGGAGAACUGAAAGGACAUUAUAGAGAAAAACACUGUAGCACUACCCAACAGCAGAGGAGCUAACUACACUUAUUAACCUGUUUUUUGUCCUGUUUAUGUGGAUCAGAAUUGGAGUGCUCAGUGUUGGGCAUUGCACUAGCUCUACUGCUUUGCUACAGUCACAUGUCCUAGUAACAAUGUGCUUGUGGGAGAAGUGGCAUUACAUCUUUACAACAAAAGUGAGGCAGUGGAACACUCUGCACCAACAUCAGGUGUUUUUCUGUAUUAGGGUGAAAAAUUAAGCCCUUUUUCUUUUAGGCAAAUUCAAAUCUACUGGCUUCUUUGAGGGGCAAUGUUGGCUAGUCCCAUGAAUAUGUGUAAUCUAUGACCUGGAUUAUGAUAUAUUCCUGUAGACAGCUCCACGCAUGUACGUGCUUCAAACAAAUACAAAAUGAUAUCCACCAUUUCUACUGAAAUAUGUUGCAAGACUCUCUUGGAUUUCAGUGGGAGAAGGAUUGGGCACAAUGUCCCUCUACAGCAGAGCUUGUGAUUCUUUCCUCAGGCUCAUUCAAUCACUGUCCCCUCUGCUGAGACUGUCAACAAAGGUGCCAAUUUGAGCCAGUUGGGGGUGAUAGUUUCUGGGAUGCUGACAGCUGUCCAUUAUGAACUUGUUUGUGACCACCAUUACAUUUCCCAUAUGAUGCUGAACAGCUGUCAGAUGGUAGUAAUGGUGAAUGAUAUAUUAGAUUCUGUGCACAUCAGUAAAUCAGAUCUCUGUUGUCUGAAAUGCCUUUCAUACUGAAUUAUUUUUUACUCCUUUUUCAUAAUAUACUGCUACCCUUCUUUUGACACUUAGUAUGUUUUUCAGCUUCUAUAUUGUUUAUACAUAAAAUACUAAAUAAUUGUUUAUUUGUGACAGAAAACAAAUACAAGUACAUCUAGAGCAAGAAAUCUGGAGCUCAAAGUAUAAUGAAUACAUUUACAGAAAUGCACGUAGAUUACCAUCUGGAGCUGCAAAUUUGGUAAUUAUGAACCUAAUUGUUUGACCUCAUGGACAAUUCUCUGCUUUAUGCACAAAAAGGCAAGUUUGUAUGAGCAAACAGCAUUUUUAAUAAACAUACACCAAGUUAUUGUAUGCUACUACAUCAUCUUUCUAAAAUAGGCACCUAUUCUAUGCUGCACACACAGAUUAUGCCAUGUACGAAUCUACAUUUGUUCAGAGAUGGUACAUCUGUAGUUGGAACAUCUAAACAGCCUUCAUUUGUGUGUUUUUGCAAAUCAUCUAUCAUAUUUUGGUUCAUUUAAUUUAUAAUUAAUUAAAAUGGCUUGUUAUGUUUUGAAAUCUUGAUAGGCAAGCUCUCUCAUGAAACUUAUCCUUUUCCACAAUGUUAGUGAAUUAUAUUUACUCACAUAAUAACUUUCUCUUCCAUCUCCUUCACACAAUCCAUUUCUCUGAAAUUUGAUACUCUGUGACAACCUAUGUUGUAUUUUCAUAGAGGACUUCCAUCCUGAGGGCUAAUUUAUUAGCUUACAUGAGCAUAAUAUUUUUUUCUGAAAAUUAUUUAGCCAAAAGGGUUCCAAGCCCAAUGAUUCACAGUACAUUUUUACUUUAAAUAUUCCCUCCAAUCAAUGAGAAACUUCAUGGGAGCUCCAAAGUUUUACCUAAUUCAGAAGCUUCUUCUGAUUUCACUGCCAACUAGUGCAUUGACCUGUUACAAUCUUCAUUUCCUUUUACUAUUCAAAGGAGUUUCAAACUAUAAUUACAUUGAACCUUUAUUAAAACAUCUUUCUUUCAUGAAGUAACUAAUAAAGUUGCUUCAAGAAGUUGCAUUUUCAGUGUAAACAAGAAACUUAGGCAAUUUUAACGUAACAAUGAUAUCAUUGUUUGAUCACAAAGGCAAAGCUGGAAAGAGUAUAACAGCCACCACUCAAACUGACUGUUAGCCUACAUUGGUUUCAUUAUAGCUGUUCCAGUGUAUCAUGUGGCUAUAUUUAUAAAUACAUUUUAACACUUAGCGUGAAAAAAGUAAGCACAAUCUGAUAUCAACACCUAAAUUUUUCUUCUCUGCUGUUCUUUUAUGUUGAUUUUGUUUUAAAUUCCUAAGGAAAAAAAGAUAUACAGCAUCCAUUUUGGUUCCUGAGAAUCAUGAAUAUGCAUGAUAAGAUUUAUUUCUAAUUUCCAAUGCAAGGAGGAUAACUAGAUUUUUUGUUAUGAAGAAGUAAUAAUUCCAAAACCAAGCAUCAUAUUGUUUACUUUUUUGUACAGUCUGUAUACUUCCAACAUGCUAGUAGUAGUGGGAGUGUAUGAACAGGAGAGAACUUGGUACAGCUAUUUUAGUUAUAUGGCUAAUAGAUCAAUCACAGGGAACUAGCAAAAAGAAAAUUUUAAAUUGCACCUAGUGGAUAUUUUUUUAGGCACCAGGGAAACAAUUUCCAUAUGCUCUUAUGAAAUAAACAACCAUUACAGAUGUUUGUUUGGAGCUUUGCAAAGCCUUUGAAGUUUCUAAAUCGGUUGCAGGUUGUCAUGCAUUGAAAAGCCUAUCAUGCAUAAUAAUUGAAAAACAAAGGAUGAAAAAUACAUUUGAAUUAAUAAUGGAAAAUAAAAUCACCUAAGGAAAAGAAAAAAUAUGCAUCACAUUUUUCCAUUCAAGGCUUUGAAAAAUAUUGUGGGUAAAUUCAUGUGACCUGUCUAUGCUACUAAGAAAGCAUAGGUGGCUAUGCUAAUGCUAAUGAGAUAGGUGGCAGAUAGACAAAAUCAUUUUCAUAACUGUGAUGAAGUUCAACAAAACAGAACUAUCAUUGGAAAUUAAAAAUCCCCAGGUUCUGUAAGUCUCAACACACCAAAGCACAAUAGCUUUCCUUAACAAGAUGCUGAACUUACUGUACUAUUGAGAUGGGAUUUCCUUAGAUGCAUUCCUUAUGGCCGCAUCUGCACGAAAUGCUGACUGUGCAGUAGCUUGUUACUAUUGUGAAGUAGCGUCGCAUGGCAUGAAACACAGUGUGACACUACUGAACAGUAGUAAUGAGCUACUGCACAGUCAGCAUCACUAAGAAGCCGUGUGGUGAUGCCAUGGCACUGUAAUGCUGGUUACUGCAUGGUUAUUUAGUACUUGUGUGUGCAAGUACUAAUGACUGCGCAGUAACAACUAUGCAGUCAGCCUCUCAUGUAGAUAAGUCCUAUGAGUAGGGACCUACAAAAUUCAUGAUUUAGCGGAUUUUGUGAAUUCUGUGACAUUCUGGAAAUGCUUACAAAAUCUGUGUAAUCCACAAAAUCCAUGGGAAAAAAACCCACCUUACUUUGCUGUGGGAACUUGUUGGGGCAUGGAAGAGGGGCUUAGGGGGGCUGCCUGCUCAAACAGCUGCCAGCAAGAUCACUGGUGCUCAUGCCCCAUGACAUUGUUUGGCUGGAAGAGCUGCCUCUACACCAAGCAGCAGCAGGGGGCAAGGCUGCAUGACAGGCAUCUCCUGUAGCCAAUCAGUGGUGAGGGGUGGGGCCACAGGGCCACUUUGGCCAAUCAGAGGCAAUUGAGGGGGGGGUUGCCUACUGCACUCUGCCCACAGAAUGGCUGCCCAAGCCCAGUAAGAGAGAAAAGAAGAUUCACAGCUCCACAGAUAUGGUAAGGAUGUGGGAAGCGGCUGCUAGGGACCCUGCCCUGGUGGUAAGGAUGUGGAGGGCAGCUGCUAGGGACCCUACCCCAGUGGUGCCACUUACCCUGGGCUCCAUUGAGGCCUCCACCAAGAUGGAGCCCAUGGUGGGAUUGGCAGCCCCCUGCCCCCUGUGUGUGGGGGCUGACUGAUGGUGAUCCAGAGGCCGUGGGUGGGUGAGGGGUCUGAAGGCUCCCUUGCCUAUCCUUCUUGUGCCCAACUUUGGGCCCUGGAGGAGCAGGUGAGGGAACUCCAGGCUGAGGUGAGCAGGCUAUGGGGGAUCAGGGCUGCAGAGGACAAAAUUGAUAUGUAUUUCCAUUCUCUGCAGGAUCAGUUUUUCAGUGGACAGGCCUCCUGGGAGGGAUGCACAGCAGAAGAAUGACAGAAGGUGACCACUAGAACCAGGACUGCUCAGGCUAGCGUGGUGGCAGCUCCCCAGGUAAAACUGGGGAACAGAGAUGAGGCCUUGGCAGACUUAGAGGAGAAAGUCGAAGUGGAUGUCUCCAGGGGGGGUGGUGCCACUCUAUGCAUGGCACAGUCUGAGCAAGCGGAACACCACGAGGAAGAAACGCCAAGUCCUUGUCAUCAGAGACUCCAUCCUGAGGGAAACGGAGGGUCCUAUCUGCUGACCCGACCCCAUGGCAUGUGAGGUCUGCUGCCUGCCUGUGGCUUGGAUUCAGGAUGUUACGGACAUGAUCCCAGACUUCACUUGACCCUCGGACCAGUACCCCAUGGUCCUAAUCCAUGUGGGAACAAAUUAUGUGGUUGGCAGCAGUCCAGACCACAUCAUGAAGGACUACAAGGCCCUGGGGGGCCAAGCUCAAGGAGAUGGGGGUGCAGGUGGUAUUCUCCUCUAUUCUCCAGGUAAGUAGAUGCAGACGGUGCCAUGAGGCCUGCAUCAGAGUGGUCAGCCAGCAGCUUUGGAGUUGUUGCUACUAGGCAGGCCUCGGGUUCCUUGACAAUGACUCGCAUUUUCACGCAGGGGGCAUGCGCGGGUGGGAUGGACUUCAACUCUCCCCUAAAGGCAAGUGUGUCUUCUCUUCCAGAUUGGCUGAUCUUGUAUGGCAUGCUUUAAACUAGUUUCACCAGGGUAUGGGGCCACAGGGGGACACGAGGACACUUCCCAGCCAAGACAGGUGAUGAGCACAAGUAGUACCCAGAUGCCUAGAUGACCAGAUUUGGUGAUCUAUGUUCCAAAAAUGACACUGACAGUUUGGCAUUCUGCUUUUAGAUGAUGAAAAAUCACAUAUGAAGUGCUGGAAAACACUGAUAUAGAUAGUCAUGGUGUUAUGGGUUAAGCAGAGAACAGACGGCAAUUGAAUGCAGAAAGAAUGGCAAGAGUAAGACAAAACAAAACAGAUGGGCAAAGAGGAC